AUGAACGCUAGCGACAGGCCUAACACAUGCAAGUCAGGGGCAGCACAAGGAGCAAUCUGAGGUGGCGACCGGCGCACGGGUGAGUAACACGUAUGCAACCUGCCUGUAAGCGGGGAAUAACCCGUUGAAAGACGGACUAAUACCGCAUAAUACUAAAUUACUGCAUGGUAAUUUAUUUAAACAUUUAUGGCUUACAGAUGGGCAUGCGCAUGAUUAGCUAGUUGGAGAGGUAACGGCUCCCCAAGGCAACGAUCAUUAGGGGUUCUGAGAGGAAGGUCCCCCACACUGGUACUGAGACACGGACCAGACUCCUACGGGAGGCAGCAGUGAGGAAUAUUGGUCAAUGGACGAGAGUCUGAACCAGCCAAGUCGCGUGCAGGAAGAAUGUCCCUAUGGAUUAUAAACUGCUUUUGCAGGGGAAUAAAGUGCAUCACGUGUGAUGUUUUGUAUGUACUCUGCGAAUAAGGAUCGGCUAACUCCGUGCCAGCCGCCGC
rnacentral:rRNA from 1 species